rnacentral:RNase_P_RNA from 1 species
CCAGAGGAUCGGGCGGCCGUCCGCCGUCGCUGAAGCUAUGGCGGACAAGCCCCCGGGUUUAUCCGCCGAAGCCUCGGCGAAGGUGGGAGGAAAGUCCGGGCUCCACGGAACGACGGUGCCGGGUAACGCCCGGCGGCCCCGGGCUCGAUCCGGGGUCAGGGACAGUGCAACAGAAAGCAGGUCGCGCAGCCUUCGGGCCCAAGUCUUCGGAUGCGUGACGGUGAAAGGGUGGGGUAAGAGCCCACCGCGGCCCCGGCAACGGGCGCCGGCACGGUAAACCCCACCGGGAGCAAGACCGAAUAGGGACGACGCCGGGUGUUCCGCCUUGUCGUCCGGGUUGGUCGCUGGAGGGGCGGAGCGAUCCGUCUCCUAGAGGAAUGGUCGCCCAGUCCGCCGAAGCCUUGGCGAAGGCGGAUGGACAGAACCCGGCUUACAGAUCCUCUGGCAUU